UACGUAGGGGGCAAGCGUUGUCCGGAUUUAUUGGGCGUAAAGAGCGUGUAGGCGGCCAGGUAGGUCCGUUGUGAAAACUCGAGGCUCAACCUCGAGACGUCGGCGGAAACCCUCUGGCUAGAGUCCGGAAGAGGAGAGUGGAAUUCCUGGUGUAGCGGUGAAAUGCGCAGAUAUCAGGAAGAACACCGAUGGCGAAGGCAGGUCUCUGGGCCACUACUGACGCUGAGAAGCGAAAGCAUGGGGAGCGAACAGG
rnacentral:rRNA from 1 species